rnacentral:rRNA from 1 species
UACGGAGGAUCCAAGCGUUAUCCGGAUUCACUGGGUUUAAAGGGUGCGUAGGUGGGCUAGUAAGUCCGUGGUGAAAUCUCUGAGCUUAACUCGGAAACUGCCGUGGAUACUAUUAGUCUUGAAUCUCGUGGAGGUAAGCGGAAUAUGUCAUGUAGCGGUGAAAUGCUUAGAUAUGACAUAGAACACCGAUAGCGAAGGCAGCUUGCUACACGAGUAUUGACACUGAGGCACGAAAGCGUGGGGAUCAAACAGG